AUUUUUUGAACCAUCUACAUUAAGUGUUUUUCAUCAUGUCUCUGCCUCCACCUGCCUGCUCCAGUUUCCUGUGUUUGAGUCCUCUCCUCAUCUACCACCCACUGUGACAAUGACAACUACAGCAUCACGUCUGCCUKGCUGUGCUGAUAGAUUGAUGACUGAAAAGUUUCAGGCUGGGCUCUCUGUGGUGCUGUGGACAGAAGUGGGUGACUCUGACAGGAAGGAGGAUCAAGAUCAUGUGAGGAUCCGUCCCCCCUGCUUGAAGCUAUUUUUUUCGUGUAAUGUCCCAGAAGGUUUGAACUCCACCCUGCUGAUCACACUGGAUAAAACCAGCCUGUGAUGCUGUGUAGACAACUAUACAGCCCAUCACCUGACAAUAACACUGUCUGCUUUUUAACAAAUAUUCACUUCUCUGCUAGCUGUUUGUAAUAAUGAACCAUCUGGUGGUUAAAGAUCC